UGAUUAGUCCUUUUAAGAGUGUACACAGUAUCUUCAUACUCACUGUUAUUUUUCCUUUCACUCAGUGCUAUGCGAGUGAUAAGCUCAAGGUAUCGAGAUAAUACGGGGCAGCAAAAGUCAAAAUUCUAAUACUCCAGCAACUCAGCCAUCGCGUCGUCGCGCGAAGAAAUUAGAGAUACCCAAUUACGAAAAUAGAAGUAAAUGCUCAAUUACAAACUUUUCAAGUUCGUGGGACCUCAUACAUGCUCUACUUUUUCGACUAUUCCUCGUCAUGCGAUUAGUAAACCACGUUUCAAUGUAGGAAUUGAUUUGUCGAAUUUAGCACACGUUUCUCGCUACAUAUAAGUUGGCAUUUUAAAAUAUAAUUAAUCCAUUGUUGUUUUCUAGAACGUUUUGUUUGCUCGAUUUUGAAUAAAAAGAUUGUUUUUUAUUAAAGAG